rnacentral:rRNA from 1 species
GACGAACGCUGGCGGCGUGCUUAACACAUGCAAGUCGAACGGUAAGGCCCUUCGGGGUACACGAGUGGCGAACGGGUGAGUAACACGUGGGUGAUCUGCCCUGCACUUCGGGAUAAGCCUGGGAAACUGGGUCUAAUACCGGAUAGGACCACUGCCUGCAUGGGUGGUGGUGGAAAGCUUUUGCGGUGUGGGAUGGGCCCGCGGCCUAUCAGCUUGUUGGUGGGGUGAUGGCCUACCAAGGCGACGACGGGUAGCCGGCCUGAGAGGGUGACCGGCCACACUGGGACUGAGAUACGGCCCAGACUCCUACGGGAGGCAGCAGUGGGGAAUAUUGCACAAUGGGCGCAAGCCUGAUGCAGCGACGCCGCGUGAGGGAUGACGGCCUUCGGGUUGUAAACCUCUUUCAGCACCGACGAAGCGCAAGUGACGGUAGGUGCAGAAGAAGGACCGGCCAACUACGUGCCAGCCGCCGCAGUAAAAC